GACGAACGCUGGCGGCGUGCCUAAUACAUGCAAGUAGAACGCACAGUUUAUACCGUAGCUUGCUACACCAUAAACUGUGAGUUGCGAACGGGUGAGUAACGCGUAGGUAACCUGCCUGGUAGCGGGGGAUAACUAUUGGAAACGAUAGCUAAUACCGCAUAAUAUUAAUUAUUGCAUGAUAAUUGAUUGAAAGAUGCAAUUGCAUCACUACCAGAUGGACCUGCGUUGUAUUAGCUAGUAGGUGAGGUAACGGCUCACCUAGGCGACGAUACAUAGCCGACCGGAGAGGGUGAUCGGCCACACUGGGACUGAGACACGGCCCAGACUCCUACGGGAGGCAGCAGUAGGGAAUCUUCGGCAAUGGACGAAAGUCUGACCGAGCAACGCCGCGUGAGUGAAGAAGGUUUUCGGAUCGUAAAGCUCUGUUGUAAGAGAAGAACGGGUGUGAGAGUGGAAAGUUCACACUGUGACGGUAUCUUACCAGAAAGGGACGGCUAACUACGUG
rnacentral:rRNA from 1 species